AACGAACGCUGGCGGCAGGCUUAACACAUGCAAGUCGAACGCCCCGCAAGGGGAGUGGCAGACGGGUGAGUAACACGUGGGAACAUGCCCAAAGGUACGGAAUAUUCUCGGGAAACUGGGAGCAAUACCGUAUGUGCCCGAAAGGGGAAAGAUUUAUCGCCUUUGGAUUGGCCCGCGUUGGAUUAGCUAGUUGGUGGGGUAAAAGCCUACCAAGGCGACGAUCCAUAGCUGGUCUGAGAGGACGACCAGCCACACUGGGACUGAGACACGGCCCAGACUCCUACGGGAGGCAGCAGUGGGGAAUCUUGGACAAUGGGCGCAAGCCUGAUCCAGCCAUGCCGCGUGAGUGAUGAAGGCCCUAGGGUUGUAAAACUCUUUCGUGGGGGACGAUAAUGACGGUACCCCAAGAAGAAGCUCCGGCUAACUUCGUGCCAGCCGCCGCCGUAAAAC
rnacentral:rRNA from 1 species